GAUUUAUCGGAGAAGGAUCGGCCCGCGUUGGAUUAGGUAGUUGGUGGGGUAACGGCCCACCAAGCCGACGAUCCAUAGCUGGUUUUGAGAGGAUGAUCAGCCACACUGGGACUGAGACACGGCCCAGACUCCUACGGGAGGCAGCAGUGGGGAAUCUUAGACAAUGGGGGCAACCCUGAUCUAGCCAUGCCGCGUGAGUGAUGAAGGCCUUAGGGUUGUAAAGCUCUUUCAGCUGUGAAGAUAAUGACGGUAGCAGCAGAAGAAGUCCCGGCUAACUCCGUGCCAGCAGCCGCGGUAAUACGGAGGGGACUAGCGUUGUUCGGAAUUACUGGGCGUAAAGCGCACGUAGGCGGACCAGCAAGUUAGGGUGAAAUCCCGGGGCUCAACCCGGAACUGCCUUAAAACUGUUGGUCUCGAGUUCGAGAGAGGUGAGUGGAAUUCGAGUGUAGAGGUGAAAUUCGUAGAUAUUCGGAGAACACCAGUGGCGAAGGCGGC
rnacentral:rRNA from 1 species